rnacentral:rRNA from 1 species
UGGGGAAUUUUGGACAAUGGGCGAAAGCCUGAUCCAGCAAUGCCGCGUGUGUGAAGAAGGCCUUCGGGUUGUAAAGCACUUUUGUCCGGAAAGAAAUCCUUGGCUCUAAUACAGUCGGGGGAUGACGGUACCGGAAGAAUAAGCACCGGCUAACUACGUGCCAGCAGCCGCGGUAAUACGUAGGGUGCAAGCGUUAAUCGGAAUUACUGGGCGUAAAGCGUGCGCAGGCGGUUUGCUAAGACCGAUGUGAAAUCCCCGGGCUCAACCUGGGAACUGCAUUGGUGACUGGCAGGCUAGAGUAUGGCAGAGGGGGGUAGAAUUCCACGUGUAGCAGUGAAAUGCGUAGAGAUGUGGAGGAAUACCGAUGGCGAAGGCAGCCCCCUGGGCCAAUACUGACGCUCAUGCACGUAAAGCGUGGGGAGCAAACAGGAUUAGAUACCCUGGUAGUCCACGCCCUAAACGAUGUCAACUAGUUGUGGGGAUUCAUUCCUUAGUAACGUAGCUAACGCGUGAAGUUGACCGCCUGGGGAGUACGGUCGCAAGAUUAAAACUUAAAUGAAUUGACGGGGUCAUAGCUGUUUCCU